GGGGCCGUAGCCCAGCGGUAGAGGCACACGGUUUAGGUCCGUGACAGGGUGGGUUCGAAUCCCAUCGGCCCUA
rnacentral:tRNA from 1 species